CCUACGGGUGGCAGCAGUGAGGAAUAUUGGUCAAUGGCCGUAAGGCUGAACCAGCCAAGUCGCGUGAAGGAAGAAGGAUCUAUGGUUUGUAAACUUCUUUUAUAGGGGAAUAAAGGUAUCCACGUGUGGAUCUUUGCAUGUACCCUAUGAAUAAGCAUCGGCUAACUCCGUGCCAGCAGCCGCGGUAAUACGGAGGAUGCGAGCGUUAUCCGGAUUUAUGGGGUUUAAGGGGUGCGUAGGUGGUUGUUUAAUGCGGCGGUGAAAGUUUGUGGCUCAACCAGAAAAUUGCCGUUGAAACUGGAAGACUGGAGUGUGUUUGAGGUGGGCGGAAUGCGUGGUGUAGCGGUGAAAUGCAUAGAUAUCACACAGAACUCCGAUUGCGAAGGCAGCUUACUAAGCCAUAACUGACGCUGAAGCACGAAAGCGUGGGGAUCAAACAGGAUUAGAUACCCGAGUAGUC
rnacentral:rRNA from 1 species